UACGGGGGGGCAAGCGUUGUUCGGAAUUACUGGGCGUAAAGGGCUCGUAGGCUGCCAACUAAGUCAGACGUGAAAUCCCUCGGCUUAACCGGGGAACUGCGUCUGAUACUGGAUGGCUAGAGUGUGGGAGAGGGAUGCGGAAUUCCAGGUGUAGCGGUGAAAUGCGUAGAUAUCUGGAGGAACACCGGUGGCGAAGGCGGCAUCCUGGACCACGACUGACACGUGAAA
rnacentral:rRNA from 1 species